UACAAGCAAAAAUAAUAGUUAAUUUCUAACUUUGGUUAACAUUAUCCCUAACUUUUAAUAUAAAGCAGAAAAUUUGUUAGUGGGGGGGGGAGGCUUCUUGAUUAAUUAAAUUUAAUUAGUAUAUUUACCGGCUUUUAAUGGAAGAAAUGAAAGUUGAAGUCACAUUUGGUGAAAAUGAAUGAAUGACGAACGGCAAGUAAGAAAAUGCCAUGACAACAGAGACUCUAAAAAUCAUCCUAGAUCAAUCUUAGACUAACAGAUGGCAUCAGUAUAGAAUAAAUUUCCUGCACACUUUGUUGUAUCAAGAGUGUGCUGAUGAAAAUGGUGCCGCCAAGAAGCAUAUUGUUUAUUUCUUAUCUAUCUAUGGGUUUGACCCAUCCCUUACACUGCAAUGUGAAAAGGUGCUCAGGAAUAAAAAGGAAAAAAAAUACUGAUAAAAACAAUAUUCAUUUGCUCAGAUA